CGCCGCCGGCUGCAGAGAAGACGCCGGCCGAUGAUGCUCCUCAUCUCAGGCUUGAUUGGCAGGAGACCCCGGUCCACGGUAUGGAGUCAAGUAAGUUUAGUGUGCAAGUUCACCAUGGUGGAUAUUUUGUGGGAUCUGGAGAGACUGUUAGCUACACGGAUGAGAAAGGAAUUGCAUGGUUUGACAACUUGGACAGAAACAACUUUAAAAUGGACACUAUAGACCUCAUGAUCGAUCAGUUAUGCUAUACUAGUAGGUAGCACGUGCUUUGCACGUUGAAAGACACAAUAUAAGCAUACAAUUUUUUAAUACAAAUGUCAUUUACUACAUGUAUAUUUAAGCUAAAUUUCAUUUCCUUUAAGCUUUAAAGAAAACACUCUAACAAUUGACAUACUCAUAGCGGUAUAAAGUUACCUUGUUACAUUUUUAUCUUCACAAUAUUCAACAGAAGAAGUAACUAUUUCUCGAUCGAUUUAUACAUAGUUUUCUCUUGGUUAUUGUCAAUGGUAUUCCAUAAAAUUUAUGUGUGACAUAUACUACUUUUAUUUGGUAGUAACAUGACUUGAUUUAGAAAAAAAAUGGAAUGAAAAAAUUAAAGCUCCAUGAAUACAUUCAUCUGUAUGUAACAGAGUGGUUAUUCCUCAGUCAACUUACUCUCAACCAACAGUUAUAGCCGCAUGAGAUCUUAUCAUCUAUUUGAAAUUUCAUAGAUCCCAAUAUUUAGAUCACAUGGUUAUUAACGUUGACUUAAAACCAGUUAUUUUUUUGGUUUUCAAGAGAAUAGCGAAACCUAAAAAAAUGCAAGAUUAACAAUGUAUAUGUUCAUGAAAUGUAGGAUUUUAAUAGCCAAUUCACGCACUAUUAAUUUCCGUAAAAACACGUUCUAGAUCAAGCUAAAUGGGAGUACAUACAAAUUAAUUUUUGUAGGAAUGGCUAAAAAUAAGUUUGCGCUUCUUGAAAUAAAAGUGUCAAUAGUACUUUUUAUAUGUACAUACCCGCAUAGGUGUGGGUAUUUCCGCCACCAUCCGUUUUACCUUGAGAUUUGGAUAUAAGGAGGAGAGAGAUAGCGCUACUUUUUCAUCUACCAUAGUGAGGAAUUUCGUGGAAUUAAUCGACGGUGAUGGAAAACCCACACCCAUGCCGUGUGUGCAAAAUCAAUUCCAUGGUUGACAUUCUGUCACGUGAGGGGCCUGCACAAGCAAUGCCCCUAUCUGGGAGAGCACUAGGAUCAAGAGGAACUAGAGGGGGAAGAGGAGCAAGAGGAGCAAAAGCAGUUUAAGUUAUCUAUAUAUGGCAGUUUAAUUGUGAUGGCAAUGUCUUAAUACUGCUCACUUUUGAUGUUAUAAUAGACCAUGAAUACAAUUAUAU